UACGUAGGGUGCGAGCGUUGUCCGGAAUUAUUGGGCGUAAAGAGCUCGUAGGCGGUCUGUCGCGUCGAAUGUGAAAACCCGGGGCUCAACUCCGGGCUUGCAUUCGAUACGGGCAGGCUAGAGUUCGGUAGGGGAGUCUGGAAUUCCUGGUGUAGCGGUGAAAUGCGCAGAUAUCAGGAGGAACACCGGUGGCGAAGGCGGGACUCUGGGCCGAUACUGACGUGGAGGAGCGAAAGCGUGGGGAGCGAACAGG
rnacentral:rRNA from 1 species